CGAGUGAAGUUGGCCUCACAUGAAUGAAUCUCAUUAGCACAAUAAGAAGCUGCAGUGUAGUAUUUAUCACAAUACAAACAGUGUUUUCCUUGAUUAUGUGUAUCGUAAAUAUACGUUGAAAACUUGUGAUUAAAUAAUAAAAUACUUUAUUAAAAUGAAAGUGGACUUUUUUAGUAUAUUCAUUGUUUUAAUUGUGAUCAUCAGUUGCGUGCCAGGAUCAUUCGCGGCCUACAGGAGGAGGUCAUGCAGAGUGGACUGUAACGAGUUGUGUCAGACACGAGGCAAGAGUUCCGGCAGAUGUAUGAGCAGCACCUGCCGAUGUUUCGCAGGAGGCAAAUAUAGCGAAGACUAAAAUUAAUUGUUUAUUAAAUUAAUGACCAGUA